rnacentral:lncRNA from 1 species
CUGAUUCCUCUCAGAUGUUUGAUCAGCUCGUUCAGUAGUUCGUAGUCUGUUCGUAAUAAGGUUUUUCAAUUUCGGCGAUUUCUAUCAAGUUCGAGAUCUGCUUUGAUACGAACGCUGCCAGCCCCCAAGAGAUUACACGUGUUUCACAGUAUGUUGUCGCCAUCGAAUGUAAAUCGACAUGAGGUUUUAAAGGGUCCUUUGAUGUCUUUUGAGGACUCGGUUCUUGAAUUUAGCACUACACUGCGAAACAAGCUGGAAGUCAAGGGAUUCAGGAUUCUAGAAACACACCUAUAUCAUCAAAUCAAGGAAAUGAAAUCCAUCUUUCAAAUGUCUACUCGGGUAAUACUCCCCAUGUUGACUACUCGACAGCAAAGUGAAUUCAGAAUGGAUGUUAUCAGCACACUAGACGACAUCAACCUAGCUUUGUUAGAAACUUGCUAUUUCGACACUGAUAAUUUGAUUAACAGAAUGAGGAAAAUUUCCAACAUCCUACAGCAUUUUAUAUAAAUAUCAAUCAUGAAUGAAUAAAACUAGGUUCAUGCAGUGUGCAUUCUACAAUGUUUUAAUUACAUGUCCUACAAUUCCAAAAAACAGUUGGUCCACCAAUAAUAUAGAACUGGGCAAUACUGGCCAAACUUGUUGACUAGGUUUAGUUUAAUUCUUGAAAAUUUAGGUUUUUAACUAUCAUUAUCAAAACAACAACUGGAACCUGUCAUUUAAAAAGCUUUCCAAUUGCUGCUUAAAGUAACUAAUGGUCUCCAAAUAUUCAAGGAGUAAUAGAAAAGGCACCGGUGACGGACCUGCAAAGAAAAAUGCUAAAUGGCUAGGGUCAUCAACAACAGGAGAUCCAGGGUUACACGGGGUCCUUUGUGAAUGCCGUCUCUUCGGUUGACUUUACCCGUUCUUUGAUGACGACCUUCAGUCUUUACUUUGGUUUUUCAAUUGCUGACAAUUAAUUAAUCUUGUUCACUCGUUAGUUGUGUAUUCUUAAUUACCAUUCAUUCGUUUGAAUGUUUAUUUUUUUCUUCAAAUUAUUAAUGUAAAUUCUUUUCUUUUUUCAUUCAGAUGACUCACAACUUUAUUGGGUUAUCAUUGACGUCCAAAUCCUCCGAUGAUCCGUUUCUUUAGUAUAACAUUACAUGACAUCUUAAGAUCAGGAACACCAUUAACCGCUGCCCUACAACAAAUCAAAACUAAACCCAGCGGAUAGCAGCGGUUACAUCAUCCAGAUUGGCAGAUUUGUGAGCUAGCUAACAACGUGAAUGAUUCGCCUCGAGAUUCGCUGACGUAGUUUUCGACUGAGUGGAAUCGCAUUAUAGAACAAAACGUCGUGCUUGGAAAAAAAUCCUUUUAUCAAUGGUUCCACAUGAAAAGGCUGUACCUACAUACUGGUUUCUACAUAAUGGAACUAAUAAUUUUAGUGGAUUCAGUGCAGGUGAAGAAGAUAAUAAAAAUUCAACUUGAGUAGUGAUUUGGAUGCCAUUUCAGCCUAUUUUAUAAAAAUUAAACUCGUAAAACUUAAAAAAAGGAACUGCAUCUACAAAGAAGAGGUCUUAAUCGAAGAGAGGAUUUUAUUAACCAGAGACAUUGCUAGAGACCAGAGAACAGUGACAGUUCCGUUGGGAUGGAAAUUGAAUUUCUCGGACGAAUCCUUUUCUUCUCCUUGGCUGACGAAUGGACUGUUAAGGUAGGCAGUCAUUUCUUUUAUUUCAAUUUUUAUUGUCAAACAGUGCUUUGCAUUUGGUUUGCAUCUGCUUCGUAAAGCUUGCGCAAUCCGAAUCACCUCACGUUGAACAUUUGGCUUUCCAACUUCAACGUACAGUAGAGAAAAAAGUCCGUAGUGCACUCUGCACUGCUGUGCAAUUUUUACUAUUAAGAGAAAGAACGUGAAUUUUGACAGGACGCAUUUCAAGCACUUUGAGGUGUGCAGUUGUGAGCGUCCAAGGAAUUUGUUGUUUAAAUCCUUACGCAGUUUUUUCCCUUAUAACUGUGGCUUUGAGGUUUCUCCUCUGUGUCCCAGUGCAUUUCUGUUCUGUGUCGAGGAAAAACAAUGGCUUUUUAAAUUUUCCAAAUUCCACCCCUAGUUGAAUCAAUUUAGUUUUCACUCGUGAAAGGACGCAGUACCCAUUUAGUUUUCGUUUUUGGAAAAGGUUUUACGUUGUUGUGGGCUUCAAACUUUUUUUGAAUUAUUGAUUCCGGUUUUAGCAGAACGUCUCGCCUAUUUUCAAAAGGGGCCAGUUUAAAUUCUAGCAAAACUGUUGCGCCAGUUAAAUCCGUGCCGUAGUCUAAUGGGUUGCUGAACCAAAACUGUUUCCAUCAUUCUUUUCCGAGAAAGUUGCGACAUGGCGUUGUUGUCUUAUUGUUGGCUGCGGUCUAUCUUUUGGCGAAUGCGCUCUUGAAGAUGUAACAGCUGUUGAUCGUGAUUGCUGUUGAAACAUUUUGCGUCCGCGAUGCACUCGCCACAACUUAAAAAUAAAUUUUGAUGGUACGCAUUUCGAACGCGUUAGGUGUCAAUCACCUGGUGUGGACCCUAGUUCGAUUCCUAGUUACCUACAGGCGAAGAAAGAACGCAGUAACUUUUCAUGUGAUGUUUCAUUUUCGGAAAAUGUUUGGCUUUGCUGGGGGGCAAAACUGCACUUCUCUGUUUGAUUAUCUUGUCUUUUCUGUUGCCAUUUUAUGGCUCAUUCUCGGGCGUUUUUUUUUGUUCCCGCUACGUCUCAAAUAAAUUCCAUACCUGAAAGUUUGACGUGAAAUUUUGGUUGAUGCCGUUCCAUGUGCAAUAAAUUGUAGAAAACUCUUAAUGUCGCCGUCGGCCGUCCUCCAAAAUUUUUAUAUUUCAAGAUUUCCAUCGGUCGUGUUCACGUUCGAAAGACGGAAGACCUUUUUAUUUGAUCGUCGUUUUUAUCUAAUUGCUUAAAGUAAAGGGCUUUUUCUUGAAACUCUCACAACCAAGUUGAUCUCGAGUGUUGUGCAAGAGGACAGCGUUUACUUCUGUCUGUAAAAUUAUCAACUUGGUGUAAUAAUUUAGUCUAAUAAGUUGCAGUUAAUGCAUCUGCCAAUAGUCUAGUUUUCCUUUUGGAUUUAAAAAUGUAUUUGGACGGUCCAAUUGGUCU